UUCCAGACUCCUACGGGAGGCAGCAGUGGGGAAUAUUGCACAAUGGGGGAAACCCUGAUGCAGCGACGCCGCGUGAGUGAAGAAGUAUUUCGGUAUGUAAAGCUCUAUCAGCAGGGAAGAAAGUGACGGUACCUGACUAAGAAGCCCCGGCUAACUACGUGCCAGCAGCCGCGGUAAUACGUAGGGGGCAAGCGUUAUCCGGAUUUACUGGGUGUAAAGGGAGCGUAGACGGAGGAGCAAGUCUGAAGUGAAAGCCCGCGGCUCAACUGCGGGACUGCUUUGGAAACUGUUCAUCUAGAGUGUCGGAGAGGUAAGUGGAAUUCCUAGUGUAGCGGUGAAAUGCGUAGAUAUUAGGAGGAACACCAGUGGCGAAGGCGGCUUACUGGACGAUGACUGACGUUGAGGCUCGAAAGCGUGGGGAGCAAACAGGAUUAGAUACCCGGGUAA
rnacentral:rRNA from 1 species